rnacentral:lncRNA from 1 species
CAAGGUUAUGUGCACAUACCUUAUGCAAUGAAGGAAUAUAACCUUACUAAGAAAUUGGAAAAAGGUUGUACAAAAAAUUAACAUAUAAAAGGCUACCAAUGGUCUUUAGUCAGCUUAGGAAUGAGAAAGAACCUAAGGAGAACAUGCAAAAAUCAAGAAUGUACACGAUACUGGUCAGAAAUACUAAAACAGCACAACAACAAGCUUAUAUAGGAGUUACAACAAGGACUUUAAAUCAGAGACUACAAGAACAUAAGAGAGACAUAGCUAAUGCUAAAUUGAACACAGUCCUAGCAAUGAGCACAUACAAUAAGGAAUUAGAA